rnacentral:rRNA from 1 species
AUUUGGAUAUGUAACACGCGUUGUGAUCCUAUCACUAAAUUUUGCACCUUCUUCCCUAAUCCAAGAUUGUAGAAAGAAGAUCUAAGACGGACAUAUGAAGAAUGUAGUUAGAAAUCCAUAAUAGAGUCCGACCACAAUGAAAAAAUUAAUUAUCCUCAUCUAGAAACUUAG